UAAUAAGUGUUUAUGGCACUUUUUAAAUCCAUAUCCACCUUGUGUGCAACGUCAGUCGAUCUUCUUCAUGGAGAUCGACCAAACAUCAACCUUUAUCUUUUAACUCUUUGUCUGAAAAAUAUUAUGAAUAAACAAUUCAAAAUA
rnacentral:misc_RNA from 1 species